rfam:Asian citrus Psyllid, Diaphorina citri - Florida Strain, whole genome shotgun sequence.
GCCAGCGGCCUUAGGCACUUUGAAUGCACCAGUUCUCGAAGGGUCACUGAAGUUAAGCAACAUUGCGCGUGGUUGGUAUAUGGACGGGUGAC